rnacentral:rRNA from 1 species
GCCUUGGCUGGGCGGUCCGGCACUAGGUCGGCACUGCGUUGGCUGGGGCUCACCUCUUGGUGAGCCGCCCAUGCCCUUCACUGGGUGGGGUGGGGAACCAGGACUUUUACUUUGAAAAAAUUAGAGUGUUCAAAGCAGGCAUACGCUCGAAUACAUUAGCAUGGAAUAAUGGAAUAGGACUCUGGUUCUAUUUUGUUGGUUUCUAGGACCGGGGUA